GACGUAGGGCGCGAGCGUUGUCCGGAUUUAUUGGGCGUAGAGAGCUCGUAGGCGGUUUGUUGCGUCGGCUGUGAAAACCCAUGGCUUAACCCCGGGUCUGCAUUCGAUACGGGCAGGCUAGAGUGUGGUAGGGGAGAUCGGAAUUCCUGGUGUAGCGGUGAAAUGCGCAGAUAUCAGGAGGAACACCGAUGGCGAAGGCAGGUCUCUGGGCCACUACUGACGCUGAGAAGCGAAAGCAUGGGGAGCGAACAGG
rnacentral:rRNA from 1 species